AUCCAGGGUUACAGCUACCGUGGACCACUCUAACAGGAAUGGCCCAAAAACUCAAUUGCUAUCCUAGCGAUCUGGCUGAACCCAUCCCAAAUACAAGUUCUCAGAGCUUCUCCACCUGGCAAAUGGUUCUCAAAAUACGGAAUGGCCUCAUGGAGUUGAUUAAAUCCUGAGCACUUCCCAGGGUCAAGAUCAAAUCAAGGGUAUAAAUGUAGAAGGUUCUGGAGGAUAAGACAUUGUGUGAAAAGUGAGUCCACAUAGAGGAGAACCAAGGCACUCCAGCUAAGCUCUUAAAUGAAUGAAGUUAUAUGAGUGAUCCCAACUGGCACUGCAUGCAGUGGAGAAUCACUGAGUCAGCCCACAGAAUUGGGAAGCCAUGGUGGAGGGGAUUCCUCUUGACACUGAGUUGUACUGGCAAGGGGGAUGG